GCGGAAGUGUCGGAAUUGGCAGACGAGCUAGACUAAGGAUCUAGUGUCAGAAAUGACGUGCGGGUUCAAGUCCCGCCUUCCGCA
rnacentral:tRNA from 1 species